ACGGGGGGAGCAAGCGUUGUUCGGAUUUACUGGGCGUAAAGGGCGGGUAGGCGGCCACCGCAAGUCAGUUGUGAAAUCUCUGGGCUUAACCCAGAAAGGUCAACUGAUACUGCGGGGCUAGAGUGCAGAAGGGGCAACUGGAACUAUCGGUGUAGGGGUGAAAUCCGUUGAUAUCGAUAGGAACUCCAAGGGCGAAGGCAGGUAACUAGGAAUUUUUUGACGCUGAUGAACGAAAGCUAGGGGAGCGAAAGGGA
rnacentral:rRNA from 1 species